rnacentral:rRNA from 1 species
GAUGAACGCUGGCGGCGUGCCUAAUACAUGCAAGUCGAGCGAACAGACGAGGAGCUUGCUCCUCUGACGUUAGCGGCGGACGGGGGAGUAACAUGUGGAGAACCUACCUAUAUGACUGGGAUAAAUUCGGGAAACCGGAGCUAAUACCGGAUAAAAUGCUGAACCGCAUGGUUCAACAGUGAAAGACGGUUUUGCUGUCACUUAUAGAUGGAUCCGCGCCGCAUUAGCUAGUUGGUAAGGUAACGGCUUACCAAGGCAACGAUGCGUAGCCGACCUGAGAGGGUGAUCGGCCACACUGGAACUGAGACACGGUCCAGACUCCUACGGGAGGCAGCAGUAGGGAAUCUUCCGCAAUGGGCGAAAGCCUGACGGAGCAACGCCGCGUGAGUGAAGAAGGUCUUCGGAUCGUAAAGCUCUGUUAUUAGGGAAGAACAAAUGUGUAAGUAACUAUGCACGUCUUGACGGUACCUAAUCAGAAAGCCACGGCUAACUACGUG